AUUGAACGCUGGCGGCAUGCCUUACACAUGCAAGUCGAACGGCAGCACGGGAGCAAUCCUGGUGGCGAGUGGCGAACGGGUGAGUAAAGUAUCGGAACGUGCCCAGUCGUGGGGGAUAACGUAGCGAAAGUUACGCUAAUACCGCAUACGAUCUAUGGAUGAAAGCGGGGGAUCGCAAGACCUCGCGCGAUUGGAGCGGCCGAUAACAGAUUAGGUAGGUGGUGGGGUAAAGGCGCACCAAGCCGACGAUCCGUAGCUGGUCUGAGAGGACGACCACCCACACUGGGAGUGAGACACGGCCCAGACUCCGACGGGAGGCAGCAGUGGGGAAUUUUGGACAAUGGGCGAAAGCCUGAUCCAGCCAUGCCGCGUGCAGGAUGAAGGCCUUCGGGUUGUAAACUGCUUUUGUACGGAACGAAAAGGUUUGGCCUAAUAAGCUGAGCUCAUGACGGUACCGUAAGAAUAAGCACCGGUUAACUACGUGCCAGCAGCCGCCGUAA
rnacentral:rRNA from 1 species